GUAAGGUACCGGACUUCUAAAACUAUGAAGUUACGGUGUACAUUUAAAUAGUUCCGGUGAGGUUGCGGUGGAAUGUAACAUACCGGAUCUUUAAUAUAAAAGUGAAAAUAAAUAAAAAUAGUGCGAGAUACUAUUUUUAUUAGAUUUAGAGAAGUAAAACAUAAGUCAGAAGUGACUUGUGCUGAAAUCGGGACGAAAACAGAAGAUCUAGAAUUUUCUGUUGAAAAUGGGACAGAAAAAUUAGCAGAAAAUGCACAGUCUCAGAAAAUUAUGAAAAUUAGAGGAUAUGUCAGAAAUAUUUUUAUGAGGCUAGAUUUAAGGUUUCAUAUUUUUCUGACACCCGUAGAGUGAGAAAUAAAAUCCGAAAGCUAUCUGAUAAAGAUUGCAGUUCGGCACAGUUUUCGGUGACCAAACGGGGUCGAAACUGAA
rnacentral:lncRNA from 1 species